rnacentral:rRNA from 1 species
UACGGGGGAGCAAGCGUUGUUCGGAUUACUGGCGUAAGGCGCGUAGGCGCCAGCGCAGUCAGUUGUGAAUCUCCGGGCUUAACUCGGAACGGUCAACUGAUACGUGCGCGGCUAGAGUGGCAGAAGGGGCAACUGGAAUUCUCGGUGUAGCGGUGAAUGCGUAGAUAAUCGAGAGGAACACCUGCGGCGAAGGCGGUUGCUGGGCUGACACUGACGCUGAUGCGCGAAAGCCAGGGAGCGAACGG